GUGGUUGGUGUGCGGGUUUCGGUUGGAGGACUCGUUGGGGAGGUGGCCUGCGCUUGUAGAGACUGCAUCCCCGAGACGAUGGCGGAGGGAGAUAAUCGCAGCACCAACCUGCUGGCUGCAGAGACUGCAAGUCUGGAAGAACAGCUGCAAGGAUGGGGAGAAGUGAUGCUGAUGGCUGAUAAAGUCCUCCGAUGGGAAAGAGCCUGGUUUCCACCUGCCAUCAUGGGUGUGGUUUCUUUGGUGUUUCUGAUUAUCUACUAUCUAGAUCCAUCUGUUCUGUCCGGCGUUUCCUGUUUUGUUAUGUUUUUGUGCUUGGCUGACUACCUUGUUCCCAUUCUAGCGCCUAGAAUUUUUGGCUCCAAUAAAUGGUAGGUAGCAUAAUGAUUUGGCAGUCUCAUUUUUGUGUAGUUACUGAACUUGGUGGCUGUGAUUAGUAUGCUGUAAAUAAGCAGAGAUAAUUGUCUAACCAUCAGACACCUAAGCAUUAGAUUUAUUGCUUUUAUGUGAAGAAUAUUGUAACUGAUUUGAAUAUAAACUAUGAAUUUUCUGUACUCCAUAGUUCUUUUAUGGUAAAUGCACAU
rnacentral:lncRNA from 1 species